rnacentral:lncRNA from 1 species
CCCUUGAAGAUAAGGAUGGUCAAACAAAAUAAUAUUAUAUCUGCAGAAAGUCAGAUCUUGGUAAGAUUUACUAGUUGGGAAUCCAAUGUUAAUGCCAAGAAGCAGCUGCCAGUUGGGAUCAAAUGUGAGCCUAUGGAUCAAGGAAUGCCUGGACACAGUAGACAAAAGUUGUUCAACUGGACGCCUUAGGAUACACGCUACCAAAAACAAAGUAGCCAAAAAGGAACCAGAAUAACAGAAUAUCAGAGCCAGAGGAACAUUUGGAGACGGUUACCUGGCACGCUGGCCACAGUCUACCUCACUCUUAUCAGAGUCUGAGCUACUGGCAGUGCUUUCAGCUCUGAGUUCAGGCACCUCGAACCUUGUUUUUGUGGUGAAGGAUCCUAAAGUGCUGUGGGGAGUGAUCACAUUUUUCACAACAUCCCUGGCUCCACCUCUUCUGCCACAAACGUCAGCAUGGUGGUAUCAGCUGGCCCUUGGUCCAGCGAGAAGGCAGAGACGAACAUUUUAGAAAUCAACGAGAAAUUGCGCCCCCAGCUGGCAGAGAACAAACAGCAGUUCAGAAACCUCAAAGAGAAAUGUUUUGUAACUCAACUGGCCGGCUUCCUGGCCAACCGACAGAAGAAAUACAGCAAUAUAAAGUCCUGGUUCACUCUCAGGAACGAGAGCUGACCCAGUUAAGGGAGAAGUUACGGGAAGGGAGAGAUGCCUCCCGCUCAUUGAAUCAGCAUCUCCAGGCCCUCCUCACUCCGGAUAAGCCAGACAAGUCCCAGGGGCAGGACCUCCAAGAACAGCUGGCUGAGGGGUGUAGACUGGCACAGCAACUUUUCCAGAAGCUCAGCCCAGAAAAUGACGAAGAUGAGGAUGAAGAUGUUCAAGUUGAGGAGGCUGAGAAAGUACUGGAAUCAUCUGCCCCCAGGGAGGUGCAGAAGGCUGAAGAAAGCAAAGUCCCUGAGGACUCACUGGAGGAAUGUGCCAUCACUUGUUCAAAUAGCCACAGCCCUUGUGACUCCAACCAGCCUCACAAGAACAUCAACAUCACCUUUGAGGAAGACAAAGUCAACUCAACUCUGGUUGUAGACAGAGAAUCCUCUCAUGAUGAAUGUCAGGAUGCUGUAAACAUUCUCCCAGUCCCUGGCCCCACCUCUUCUGCCACAAACGUCAGCAUGGUGGUAUCAGCCGGCCCUUUGUCCAGCGAGAAGGCAGAGAUGAACAUUCUAGAAAUCAACGAGAAAUUGCAUCCCCAGCUGGCAGAGAAGAAACAGCAGUUCAGAAACCUCAAAGAGAAAUGUUUUGUAACUCAACUGGCCUGCUUCCUGGCCAACCAGCAGAACAAAUACAAAUAUGAAGAGUGCAAAGACCUCAUAAAAUCUAUGCUGAGGAAUGAGCGACAGUUCAAGGAGGAGAAGCUUGCAGAGCAGCUCAAGCAAGCUGAGGAGCUCAGGCAAUAUAAAGUCCUGGUUCACUCUCAGGAACGAGAGCUGACCCAGUUAAGGGAGAAGUUACGGGAAGGGAGAGAUGCCUCCCGCUCAUUGAAUCAGCAUCUCCAGGCCCUCCUCACUCCGGAUAAGCCAGACAAGUCCCAGGGGCAGGACCUCCAAGAACAGCUGGCUGAGGGGUGUAGACUGGCACAGCAACUUUUCCAGAAGCUCAGCCCAGAAAAUGACGAAGAUGAGGAUGAAGAUGUUCAAGUUGAGGAGGCUGAGAAAGUACUGGAAUCAUCUGCCCCCAGGGAGAUGCCGAAGGCUGAAGAAAAGGAAGUCCCUGAGGACUCACUGGAGGAAUGUGCCAUCACUUGUUCAAAUAGCCAUGGCCCUUAUGACUCCAACCAGCCACAUAGGAAAACCAAAAUCACAUUUGAGGAAGACAAAGUCGACUCAACUCUCAUUGGCUCAUCCUCUCAUGUUGAAUGGGAGGAUGCUGUACACAUUAUCCCAGAAAAUGAAAGUGAUGAUGAGGAAGAGGAAGAAAAAGGGCCAGUGUCUCCCAGGAAUCUGCAGGAGUCUGAAGAGGAGGAAGUCCCCCAGGAGUCCUGGGAUGAAGGUUAUUCGACUCUCUCAAUUCCUCCUGAAAUGUUGGCCUCGUACAAGUCUUACAGCGGCACAUUUCACUCAUUAGAGGAACAGCAAGUCUGCAUGGCUGUUGACAUAGCAGGACAUCGGUGGGAUCAAGUGAAAAAGGAGGACCAAGAGGCAACAGGUCCCAGGCUCAGCAGGGAGCUGCUGGAUGAGAAAGGGCCUGAAGUCUUGCAGGACUCACUGGAUAGAUGUUAUUCAACUCCUUCAGGUUAUCUUGAACUGACUGACUCAUGCCAGCCCUACAGAAGUGCCUUUUACAUAUUGGAGCAACAGCGUGUUGGCUGGGCUCUUGACAUGGAUGAAAUUGAAAAGUACCAAGAAGUGGAAGAAGACCAAGACCCAUCAUGCCCCAGGCUCAGCGGCAUGCUGAUGGAAGUGGAAGAGCCUGAAGUCUUGCAGGACUCACUGGAUAGAUGUUAUUCGACUCCGUCAAUGUACUUUGAACUACCUGACUCAUUCCAGCACUACAGAAGUGUGUUUUACUCAUUUGAGGAACAGCACAUCAGCUUCGCCCUUGACGUGGACAAUAGGUUUCUUACUUUGAUGGGAACAAGUCUCCACCUGGUCUUCCAGAUGGGAGUCAUAUUCCCACAGUAAGCAGCCCUUACUAAGCCGAGAGAUGUCAUUCCUGCAGGCAGGACCUAUAGGCACGUGAAGAUUUGAAUGAAACUAUAGUUCCAUUUGGAAGCCCAGACAUAGGAUGGGUCAGUGGGCAUGGCUCUAUUCCUAUUCUCAGACCAUGCCAGUGGCACCCUGUGCUCAGUCUGAAGACAAUGGACCCAAGUUAGGUGUGACACGUUCACAUAACUGUGCAGCACAUGCCGGGAGUGAUCAGUCAGACAUUUUAAUUUGAACCACUUAUCUCUGGGUAGCUACAAAGUUCCUCAGGGAUUUCAUUUUGCAGUCAUGUCUCUGAGCUUCUAUACCUGCUCAAGGUCAGUGUCAUCUUUGUGUUUAGCUCAUCCAAAGGUGUUACCCUGGUUUCAAUGAACCUAACCUCAUUCUUUGUAUCUUCAGUGUUGAAUUGUUUUAGCUGAUCCAUCUUUAACACAGGAGGGAUCCUUGGCUGAGGAUUGUAUUUCAGAACCACCAACUGCUCUUGACAAUUGUUAACCCGCUAGGCUCCUUUGGUUAGAGAAGCCACAGUCCUUCAGCCUCCAAUUGGUGUCAGUACUUAGGAAGACCACAGCUAGAUGGACAAACAGCAUUGGGAGGCCUUAGCCCUGCUCCUCUCGAUUCCAUCCUGUAGAGAACAGGAGUCAGGAGCCGCUGGCAGGAGACAGCAUGUCACCCAGGACUCUGCCGGUGCAGAAUAUGAACAACGCCAUGUUCUUGCAGAAAACGCUUAGCCUGAGUUUCAUAGGAGGUAAUUACCAGACAACUGCAGAAUGUAGAACACUGAGCAGGACAACUGACCUGUCUCCUUCACAUAGUCCAUAUCACCACAAAUCACACAACAAAAAGGAGAAGAGAUAUUUUGGGUUCAAAAAAAGUAAAAAGAUAAUAUAGCUGCAUUUCUUUAGUUAUUUUGAACCCCAAAUAUUUCCUCAUCUUUUUGUUGUUGUCAUUGAUGGUGGUGACAUGGACUUGUUUAUAGAGGACAGGUCAGCUCUCUGGCUCAAUGAUCUACAUUCUGAAGUUGUCUGAAAAUGUCUUCAUGAUUAAAUUCAGCCUAAACGUUUUGCCGGGAACACUGCAGAGACAAUGCUGUGAGUUUCCAACCUUAGCCCAUCUGCGGGCAGAGAAGGUCUAGUUUGUCCAUCAGCAUUAUCAUGAUAUCAGGACUGGUUACUUGGUUAAGGAGGGGUCUAGGAGAUCUGUCCCUUUUAGAGACACCUUACUUAUAAUGAAGUAUUUGGGAGGGUGGUUUUCAAAAUUAGAAAUGUCCUGUAUUCCAAUGAUCAUCCUGUAAACAUUUUAUCAUUUAUUAAUCAUCCCUGCCUGUGUCUAUUAUUAUAUUCAUAUCUCUACGCUGGAAACUUUCUGCCUCAAUGUUUACUGUGCCUUUGUUUUUGCUAGUGUGUGUUGUUGAAAAAAAAAACAUUCUCUGCCUGAGUUUUAAUUUUUGUCCAAAGUUAUUUUAAUCUAUACAAUUAAAAGCUUUUGCCUAUCACUCUGGACUGUUGGAUUGUUUUUUACAUUCAGUGUUAUAAUCUUUUGUUAUGCUGAUUGGUUUUGGUGGGUACUGAUGUGAAUUAAUAAAAACAUUUCCAUUUC